rnacentral:rRNA from 1 species
GACGAACGCUGGCGGCGUGCCUAAUACAUGCAAGUUGAGCGCUGAAGGUUGGUACUUGUACCAACUGGAUGAGCAGCGAACGGGUGAGUAACGCGUGGGGAAUCUGCCUUUGAGCGGGGGACAACAUUUGGAAACGAAUGCUAAUACCGCAUAAAAACUUUAAACACAAGUUUUAAGUUUGAAAGAUGCAAUUGCAUCACUCAAAGAUGAUCCCGCGUUGUAUUAGCUAGUUGGUGAGGUAAAGGCUCACCAAGGCGAUGAUACAUAGCCGACCUGAGAGGGUGAUCGGCCACAUUGGGACUGAGACACGGCCCAAACUCCUACGGGAGGCAGCAGUAGGGAAUCGUCGGCAAUGGACGAAAGUCUGACCGAGCAACGCCGAGUGAGUGAAGAAGGUUUUCGGAUCGUAAAAAUCUGUUGGUAGAGAAGAACGUUGGUGAGAGUGGAAAGCGCAUCAAGUGACGGUAACUACCCAGAAAGGGACGGCUAACUACGUG